rnacentral:rRNA from 1 species
GAUGAACGCUGGCGGCGUGCCUAAUACAUGCAAGUCGAGCGAAUGGAUUAAGAGCUUGCUCUUAUGAAGUUAGCGGCGGACGGGUGAGUAACACGUGGGUAACCUGCCCAUAAGACUGGGAUAACUCCGGGAAACCGGGGCUAAUACCGGAUAACAUUUUGAACCGCAUGGUUCGAAAUUGAAAGGCGGCUUCGGCUGUCACUUAUGGAUGGACCCGCGUCGCAUUAGCUAGUUGGUGAGGUAACGGCUCACCAAGGCGACGACGGGUAGCCGGCCUGGGAGGGUGACCGGCCACACUGGGACUGAGACACGGCCCAGAAUCCUACGGGAGGCAGCAGUGGGGAAUAUUGCGCAAUGGACGAAAGUCUGACGGAGCAACGCCGCGUGAGUGGUGAAGGCUUUCGGGUCGUAAAACUCUGUUGUUAGGGAAGAACAAGUGCUAGUUGAAUAAGCUGGCACCUUGACGGUACCUAACCAGAAAGCCACGGCUACUACGUGCCAGCCGCCGCGGUAA